rnacentral:rRNA from 1 species
UUCGCCUACGGGAGGCAGCAGUAGGGAAUUUUCGUCAAUGGGGGCAAGCCUGAAGGAGCAAUGCCGCGUGAACGAGGAAGGUCUUCGGAUCGUAAAGUUCUGUUGAAGGGGAAAAAGAGCGGAGAGAGGAAAUGGUCUCCGAUUGAUAAUACACUUCGAGGAAGUCACGGCUAACUACGUGCGAGAAGCCGCGGUAAUACGUAGGUGGCGAGCGUUAUCCGGAAUGAUUGGGCGUAAAGGGUGCGUAGGCGGCCUGCUAAGGCUGGGGUGAAAG